AUUGAACGCUGGCGGCAGGCCUAACACAUGCAAGUCGAACGAGUGGCGGACGGGUGAGUAAUGUCUGGGAAACUGCCCGAUGGAGGGGGAUAACUACUGGAAACGGUAGCUAAUACCGCAUACCAUCGGAUGUGCCCAGAUGGGAUUAGCUAGUAGGUGGGGUAAGGGCUCACCUAGGCGACGAUCCCUAGCUGGUCUGAGAGGAUGACCAGAAGCACAGGAACAGAGAAACGGUGAAGACUCCUACGGGAGGCAGCAGUGGGGAAGAGUGCACUAUGGGAGAAAGGCUGAUGCAGCCAUGCAGCGUGUAUGAAGAGGGCCUGAGGGUUGUAAAGUUCUUUCAGCGAGGAGGCGGUACUCGCAGAAGAAGCACCGGCUAACUCCGUGCCAGCAGCCGCGGUAAUAC
rnacentral:rRNA from 1 species